rnacentral:lncRNA from 1 species
GUAAAAUAGAAAGAGGGCGACGCGGAUCGUCGCUUUUUGGAGUCCAAGGAAGUUCUUCUCGGGACUGGACUGGACAGAUAGUCUCCAUGCACGUUCAAGGUGGGCCCCACUUUAUUUCCAUUGGCUGGUAUUUUACUAAUUAAUAAAUUAAAGUCUCGAAGCUAAUUAAUAAUUCAUUGAAUAUCUGCAACGUAGCCAGCUAUUUUCACGUCCA